AUUGAACGCUGGCGGCAAGCCUAAUACAUGCAAGUCGAACGAGUGGCGGACGGGUGAGUAAUGUCUGGGAAACUGCCUGAUGGAGGGGGAUAACUACUGGAAACGGUAGCUAAUAUCGCAUACCAUCGGAUGUGCCCAGAUGGGAUAAGCUAGUAGGUGGGGUAAAGGCUCACCUAGGCGACGAUCCCUAGCUGGUCUAAGAGGAUGACCGGACACACUGGAACUGAGACACGGACCAGACUCCUACGGGAGGCAGCAGGAAGGAAAAUGGCGCAAGGGGCGGAAGCCUGAUGCAGCCAUGCCGCGUGUAUGAAGAAGGCCUUCGGGUUGUAAAAUACUUACAGCGGGGAGGCGUUACCCGCAGAAGAAGCACCGGCUUACUCCGUGGCAGCGGCCGCGGUAAUUC
rnacentral:rRNA from 1 species